AGUAAAGUGGCGCACGGGUGAGUAACACGUGACUAACCUACCCUUGAGUGGGGGAUAACCUCGGGAAACCGGGGCUAAUACCGCAUAAUAUCGAGAGAUCAAAGGAGCAAUUCGCUUAAGGAGGGGGUCGCGGCUGAUUAGCUAGUUGGUGAGGUAAUGGCUCACCAAGGCUAUGAUCAGUAUCCGGCCUGAGAGGGCGCACGGACACACUGGAACUGAAACACGGUCCAG
rnacentral:rRNA from 1 species